GGGUUGUGAGGUUAAGCGACUAAGCGUACACGGUGGAUGCCCUGGCAGUCAGAGGCGAUGAAGGGCGUGCUAAUCUGCGAUAAGCGCCGGUAAGGUGAUAUGAACCGUUAUAACCGGCGAUACCCGAAUGGGGAAACCCAGUGUGAUUCGUCACACUAUCAUUAACUGAAUCCAUAGGUUAAUGAGGCGAACCGGGGGAACUGAAACAUCUAAGUACCCCGAGGAAAAGAAAUCAACCGAGAUUCCCCCAGUAGCGGCGAGCGAACGGGGAGGAGCCCAGAGCCUGAAUCAGCAUGUGUGUUAGUGGAAGCGUCUGGAAAGGCGCGCGAUACAGGGUGACAGCCCCGUACACAAAAGCGCAUGUGCUGUGAGCUCGAUGAGUAGGGCGGGACACGUGGUAUCCUGUCUGAAUAUGGGGGGACCAUCCUCCAAGGCUAAAUACUCCUGACUGACCGAUAGUGAACCAGUACCGUGAGGGAAAGGCGAAAAGAACCCCGGCGAGGGGAGUGAAAAAGAACCUGAAACCGUGUACGUACAAGCAGUGGGAGCACAGGUUUACCUGUGUGACUGCGUACCUUUUGUAUAAUGGGUCAGCGACUUAUAUUCUGUAGCAAGGUUAACCGUAUAGGGGAGCCGGAGGGAAACCGAGUCUUAACCGGGCGUUAAGUUGCAGGGUAUAGACCCGAAACCCGGUGAUCUAGCCAUGGGCAGGUUGAAGGUUGGGUAACACUAACUGGAGGACCGAACCGACUAAUGUUGAAAAAUUAGCGGAUGACCUGUGGCUGGGGGUGAAAGGCCAAUCAAACCGGGAGAUAGCUGGUUCUCCCCGAAAGCUAUUUAGGUAGCGCCUCGUGAAUUCAUCUCCGGGGGUAGAGCACUGUUUCGGCUAGGGGGCCAUCCCGGCUUACCAACCCGAUGCAAACUGCGAAUACCGGAGAAUGUUAUCACGGGAGACACACGGCGGGUGCUAACGUCCGUCGUGAAGAGGGAAACAACCCAGACCGCCAGCUAAGGUCCCAAAGUCAUGGUUAAGUGGGAAACGAUGUGGGAAGGCCCAGACAGCCAGGAUGUUGGCUUAGAAGCAGCCAUCAUUUAAAGAAAGCGUAAUAGCUCACUGGUCGAGUCGGCCUGCGCGGAAGAUGUAACGGGGCUAAACCAUGCACCGAAGCUGCGGCAGCGACGCUGAUGCGUUGUUGGGUAGGGGAGCGUUCUGUAAGCCUGUGAAGGUGGCCUGUGAGGGUUGCUGGAGGUAUCAGAAGUGCGAAUGCUGACAUAAGUAACGAUAAAGCGGGUGAAAAGCCCGCUCGCCGGAAGACCAAGGGUUCCUGUCCAACGUUAAUCGGGGCAGGGUGAGUCGACCCCUAAGGCGAGGCCGAAAGGCGUAGUCGAUGGGAAACGGGUUAAUAUUCCCGUACUUGGUGUUACUGCGAAGGGGGGACGGAGAAGGCUAUGUUGGCCGGGCGACGGUUGUCCCGGUUUAAGCGUGUAGGUGUGUGUUCCAGGUAAAUCCGGUUCACUUUAACACUGAGGCGUGAUGACGAGGCACUACGGUGCUGAAGCAACAAAUGCCCUGCUUCCAGGAAAAGCCUCUAAGCAUCAGGUAACAUCAAAUCGUACCCCAAACCGACACAGGUGGUCAGGUAGAGAAUACCAAGGCGCUUGAGAGAACUCGGGUGAAGGAACUAGGCAAAAUGGUGCCGUAACUUCGGGAGAAGGCACGCUGACACGUAGGUGAAGUGAUUUACUCAUGGAGCUGAAGUCAGUCGAAGAUACCAGCUGGCUGCAACUGUUUAUUAAAAACACAGCACUGUGCAAACACGAAAGUGGACGUAUACGGUGUGACGCCUGCCCGGUGCCGGAAGGUUAAUUGAUGGGG
rnacentral:rRNA from 1 species